ensembl:snRNA U6 U6 spliceosomal RNA
GUGCUUCAGCAGCACAUAUACUAAAACUGGAACAAUACAGAGAAUAUUAGCAUGGCCCUUGGACAAGAAUGACAUGCAAAUUCAUGAAAAAUUCCGUAUUUUU